GGUGGCUUGGUGGCUUAGUGGUUAACACUGUUGCCUCGUACCCCAGGGGAUUGAGGGUUCAAAUCCCACCUCUACCC